rnacentral:misc_RNA from 1 species
UUGAAUAUUUGAAGGGGUUGUCUGCUGGUCCCUAGCGGGACAUCGUGCACGCCCCGUUCAAAAAUCCAACCUUCAUACCCCUGUGCAUCAUUUGUAGGGUCGCGGCCGUCAGGCCUGCGCUCUAUGUUUAUCACAAACUCUGUAGUAUGUGUAGAAUGACAUCGCGUAUAACGCAUCUAUAUA